ensembl:lncRNA
GGGAGAGAACACUCCAUCGGAGAGACAGUUUGGACAGGGAACACGGAUGGACAGAUGGAUGGAGAGGAAACUAGCAGACGAAGAGUAUCAGAAAGCCUGCGACGAGUCUCUGUUAUUUUGGGUGAUCAUUGCCAUUUCUCAUUUCUCUUUCUCGUGUUCAGAUGUCACUUAUCAAGGAUGAAUUCAUCUGAUGAACCUGUCCACAGCAGCAUUUGUCUACAUUGACUAUAGGCUCUGCCUUGUAACAAAUUUGUUUGCACCAGAAAUGCAGCCUUUGACUUCAACAGGAAAAAAAUGGAGAGCAUCCUCCACUGUUAAAGCUAUAUUUUCACCAACCAAAAAAAGAGGAUUUUACAGAGCAAGCUGGCCAGCAAAGUGAGGUUGAAGGAGACAAAUGAGGAGAUUCGCAGCCCACCUGAAGCCCUGGAGAACGCUGCCCGAGCAGGCAUGCCAGCGGAGGCCCCUACUAAUUAUCAGGCCUCCUCAUGACUGACAUCUGCCUCCUACCCCUCUAUUAGGACAUCACCAGCAGCUUGAAGGGGGGAAAAAAAACAUGGAGAACCCACACAACAACGAGGGCUACAUGCUAUCAAGGUGCCUAAACAGGUGAUUAAGUCUACAUUUUCUGGCCUCCUGAUGUGAGAAGUAAUACUGAUGUCGACUCUGGAGAAUGGAGGCAUGGUGAAGGUUCCUCUGGUGAGCGCCUGCCCUUUGGUGACCUUGUCCAUCUGAGGCAUCUGCGGCUCAGUGGAGCGUUUCCUGGCCGUCUCAUGCUCUAUCAGUCCCAAUGAAGGAACACAGCACCAGACCGGACCCGCAUGGCAAUAAGGGGUGCUGGAGUCAACCCGAUCCGACAGCCUAGCUCACCCCUCUGGUCUAAGGGUCAACGCUGGGGUCAUUCAGCACCUAGAGUCACCCUGGGUAAUUCUGGAUGCACUCAUGAUAUGAAGACUCCCUUGAUGUCCUUUCGAUUGGCAUUAUAUGCAAGGACAGGUUUAAUCAAAAGUGCAGGGAACAGGAGUCAUUCUGCCCUCGGUUCCUGCUGAAGACAGCCAUCAGACACAACAGGGUGAUGCUGGGUACAGUUGCCAUGGAAAUCCAAGUUCGUAGACCACAUGCCACAAGGUUCAGUGGCUCAAAAAAUCUCAAAUGAACUGAUGCAACAAUCUGCACACAAUUAACUCUCGCACUGCUUUUUCAGCUGUUUGCUUUGUAAAUGAAUGCCUUCUAUUUCAGUUCUGUUCCCCCUAGUUUACUAUAUACUUUUCUAAACUGCUAUUCUUGAGGCAUACAGCUGCAUUUUAU